GUGGGCGUUCUCACUCUGUCACCCAGGCUGGAGUGCGGUGGUGCGAUCUCGGCUCACUGCAACCUCUGUUGCCUUUCAGGUUCAAGCGAUUCUCCUGCCUCAGCCUCCUGAGUAGCUGGGAUUACAGGUGCCUGCCACCACGCCCGGAUAAUUUUUGUAUUUUUAGUGGAGAUGGGGUUUCGCCAUGUUGGCCAGACUGGUCUCAAACUCCUAACCUCAGUCCUUGUUCUUUCAGUCUCAUUGACGCUGCCCGGAGUACCCUCCCCCAACCCACCUUCUGGUUUCCCUGGAAAUUGUUAUCCAUCCCUUCCAGGCCUAGCUCAAGCAGCAUCUCCUCUGCACUGGCCUCCAAGCUGCCCCCAACACCACAGCCAGACAGAGUCUCGUUCUAUCACCCAGGCUGCAGUGUGAUGGCACCAUCUUGGCUCACUGCAAUCUCCACCUCCCAGGUUCAAGGAUUCUCCUGCCUCAGCAUCCAAGUAGCUGGGAUUACAGGUGCAUGCCACUAUGCCCAGCUAAUUUUUGUAUUUUUAGUAGAGACAGGGUUUCUCUAUGUUGACCAGGCUGGUCUUGAACUCCUGACCUCAGGUGAGGUCCUUGAACUCCUGACCUCACCCGCCUCAGCUUCCCAAAGUGCUGGGAUUACAGGCAUGAGCCACUGCGCCCGGCCUGGACACUCACUUUUCAUAACAGCUCAGGAGUCUUGUAAACCUCAUGAAGAGUGGGAUCUUGACACUGUCAAUGCUCUGGGAAACAAAGUCUCCAGCACCUGAGUUUGGGAGAAACCAGACGUGGAGACGAUCUGUUUCACAUGAACACAUGCCAAGCCAGACUGAGCCUCUGCGGAGGCAGCAAGCACUGAGGUGGAUUCAUCUCUGUAUCCUGAGCACAUGGCUGGUACUUGGUGAUUACUGUAUUGAGAGAAUGAAUGAAAAUCACAGUCUAGUGAGGAAAACAGACACAUAAACAAUUAUAAGACACCCUAAGUGCUGUGACAAGGGACUACAGGAAUCACAGAGUGAACAGAAGAGGAAAAGGGCCCAGCGACACUGGGGAUCUCCUGCAGCGACACCAGGACUAGCACACUGGUCUCUUUGCUGCCCAGAGCACCAUUGGAGGAGAUGCCCCUGGGGAUGCCUGCCCAGCCCAUAGGCUCUCCCUCGGCACCACGGGACUGGUCCCUGGCGGCCCCUCAGCCAUGGGCUGUGGGUUCAUGACCCAAAUUGGGCAAUGAGUUCCCUGUCCCACAAUCUUGCUGUUGGGAUUCAGAGAAGCCAGUGUGCUUCCUCUGGUUACUUGACCUGAGACCUGAGAGCCAGCCAUGUUUGGCCAUGAGAGAACUGGGGGAAGUCGCGCGCUAAGAGGUAUAAGAGUGAAGCAGACGUGCAGAAAGAGGGUGGAUAGGAGACAGUGAGGCCCAGAGAAGGAGAGGAGCUUCCGGGCUUCUCAUUCUUCAGAUCCUGGUUCUCAGGCCUCUUGAGGUCUGGCUGCCCCUGCCCUCGGGUUCCAUGUGCCAUCUCUGAAGAUGUGAUUAAAAGCUCUCAGCUG